rnacentral:miRNA from 1 species
UGCAUUUUUUGGUAAGACGAUGUUAACAAAAGUUGUUCGUCUUGAUGAGGGCUACAACUUUUCUUAAUAUCCUUUUAACAAAUUAUGCGUAUUUAAGAAGAUAGCGCUGCGCAUGCGCAGAACGUAACUCCUUACGCUUGCAUUUUUUGGUAAGACGAUGUUAACAAAAGUUGUUCGUCUUGAUGAGGGCUACAACUUUUCUUAAUAUCGUUUUAACAAAUUAUGCG